rnacentral:lncRNA from 13 species
UCAGGGUAUGUUAAGUCAGGGUAUGUUGGUCAGGGUAUGUUAGUCAAGGUAUGUUAGUCAGGGUAUGUUGGUCAAGGGUAUGUUGGUCAGGGUAUGUUAAGUCAGGGUAUGUUAAGUCAGGGUAUGUUAAGUCAGGGUAUGUUAAGUCAGGGUAUGUUAGUCAUGGUAUGUUAGUCAGGGUAUGUUUCGUCAGGGUAUGUUAGAGUAUGUUAAGUCAGGGUACGUUAGUCAGGGUAUAUUAGGGAAUGUUAAGUCAGGGUAUGUUAGAGUAUGUUAAGUCAGGGUAUGUUGGCACCAUAGGCCGUGUUGAUCUUUCC